CCUACGGGGGGCAGCAGGCGAGAAACCUUAGCAAUGCGGGAAACCGUGACUGGGCUAUCCCGAGUGCCAGCCGCUAAGGCUGGCUUUUCCCCAGAGUAAAAACCUGGGGGAAUAAGCGGGGGGCAAGACUGGUGUCAGCCGCCGCGGUAAUACCAGCUCCGCGAGUGGUCGGGACGAUUAUUGAGCCUAAAGCGCUCGUAGCCGGUCCGGUAAGUCCUGUGCUAAAUCCAACGGCUCAACCGUUGGGCCGCAUGGGAUACUGCCGGGCUAGGGAGCGGAAGAGGCCAGGGGUACUCCCGGGGUAGGGGCGAAAUCCUAUAAUCCCGGGAGGACGACCAGUGGCGAAGGCGCCUGGCUAGGACGCGUCCGACGGUGAGGGGCGAAAGCUGGGGGAGCGAACCGGAUUAGAUACCCGGGUAGUCCCAGCUGUAAACGAUGCGGAUUGGGUGCCGGUACGGCUUCGGGCCGUAUCGGUGCCUCAGGGAAGCCGUUAAAUCCGCCGCUUGGGGAGUACGGUCGCAAGACUGAAACUUAAAGGAAUUGGCGGGGGAGCACCACAAGGGGUGAAGCCUGCGGCUCAAUUGGAGUCAGCGCCGGGAACUUUACCGGGGGCGACAGCAGGAUGAGGGCCAAGCUGAUGACUUUGCCCGACGCGCUGAGAGGUGGCGCAUGGCCGUCGCCAGCUCGUGCCGUGAGGUGUCUGGUUAAGUCCAGGAACGAGCGAGACCCUCACCCCUAGUUGCCACCGCGCAAGCGGGCACACUAGGGGGACCGCCACCGCUAAGGUGGAGGAGGGAGGGGGCAACGGCAGGUCAGCAUGCCCCGAAUCCCCCGGGCCGCACGCGGGCUGCAAUGGUGGAGACAAUGGGUUCCGAACCCGAAAGGGGGAGGUAAUCCUUGAAACUCCACCGUAGUUGGGAUCGAGGGCUGCAACCCGCCCUCGUGAACCUGGAAUCCCCAGUAAUCGCGUGUCAUCAUCGCGCGGUGAACACGUCCCCGCUCCUUGCACACACCGCCCGUC
rnacentral:rRNA from 1 species